UAGACGAUGUCUACUAGCCGUUGGAGGACUUGAUCCUUUAGUGGCGCAGCUAACGCGAUAAGUAGACCGCCUGGGGAGUACGGUCGCAAGAUUAAAACUCAAAUGAAUUGACGGGGGCCCGCACAAGCGGUGGAGCAUGUGGUUUAAUUCGAAGCAACGCGAAGAACCUUACCUACUCUUGACAUCCAGUGAACUUUUGAGAGAUCAAUUGGUGCCUUCGGGAACACUGAGACAGGUGCUGCAUGGCUGUCGUCAGCUCGUGUUGUGAAAUGUUGGGUUAAGUCCCGUAACGAGCGCAACCCUUGUCCUUAGUUACCAUCAUUAAGUUGGGGACUCUAAGGAGACUGCCGGUGACAAACCGGAGGAAGGCGGGGACGACGUCAAGUCAUCAUGGCCCUUACGAGUAGGGCUACACACGUGCUACAAUGGCAUGUACAAAGGGUUGCCAAGCCGCGAGGUGGAGCUAAUCCCAUAAAGCAUGUCGUAGUCCGGAUUGGAGUCUGCAACUCGACUCCAUGAAGUCGGAAUCGCUAGUAAUCGUGAAUCAGAAUGUCACGGUGAAUACGUUCCCGGGCCUUGUACACACCGCCCGUCACACCAUGGGAGUGGGUUGCUCCAGAAGUAGAUAGCUUAACCUUCGGGAGGGCGUUUACCACGGAGUGAUUCAUGACUGGGGUGAAGUCGUAACAAGGUAACCGUAA
rnacentral:rRNA from 1 species